CCACGCCUGACAAUUAUUUAACAGUUGUUUUUGUAGAUAAGUAUUAGUGGUAUGGAAGUGACAAUAAAUGUAUUGUAUAAAUUACAUACGGGCAGGUCAUACAAAAAUAAUAACAAUGCAAUAAUUAACACGAACCCAAAAAAACAAAAAAAACAAACCUUACCGAAGACCGAGUUGUUCAUGAGUUUGAAGAAGUUCUUCUCGAAAGCAGUCUUGGCUUGUUGUCGCAUUUUGGUGUAGAACUCAACGUAGGGUUUCAUGAAAGCCUCUUGUUGGAACUCUAAUACUCUAUGUAUUUUUUUCAAUUUUAGACCGAGUUGGAGAUACAGUUGCAGGUAGUCCACCUAAAUGGCCGUCAACCAGUCUUUUGACGAUUUUUAGACUAUGGCAGACUGGUGACGUCCACCAUCCCAGCAAAAAGUAGCAAACGGGCCUUGCGCAGAGGAUCCUCGCGGCCACAAUUUUUAAAUUAUCUUUGUUAUAAAUUCAAAUUUCUACGAAAAUAUUAUUGCCUACUAUCAAACACACAUUUAUUUAUGUCAUUAUGCCGAAAAAACAUGUUCAGAUACCAUAAUGCACUUACAUGCAUCGAUUGUAUCCAUUAAUCUGUAAAUCUAGGACAAAUCUGACAGGUUGUGUACAUGUAUGAAACGGGGUAGAGGAUUUCGAAUAUUUUGGUCGUUAAUAGGCUCGGUUAAAUAACACUAUUAAAAAUGCAACCAUUUCAAUGCGCUGAACGCUAACGUGUUUGAUGGGUCAAGUUGGGAGAAGUUGAUGAUGAUGAUGUUAGUGAUGAUGAUGAUGAUGAUGAUGAUUAGGUAUCACCAUUUUUGAACACUGUUGCGUUGCUCUGCACAAUACAUAGAAAAGCGAGGAUAACUGUGACUGCGCACAGGGUUAACAAUCAUUGACGGAUGGGUACAAAUUUAUUCGAUAAAAAUCAACAUGUAUAAAAAAAUGGUGGACUGCUACGCUCAUUUCGUGACCCAGAGUAUAUUUAUGUGAAAAUAACAACUCUAACGACAAAUCCAACCCAGUUAAGAUCACUUUCAGGUACAUUUUGAACAAUUAUAUCAUUAUCAUUCAACAUCGAUGCAUAAUAUUACUAUAUAUUCUUUCGCCCAGUGUUAAAUGGUAGAGAGUUGUAGCGUUACAGGGAUACACAUGAAAUGUCAAAAUAAUAAAAAAGUAUCCCUGAUCGCUCAUUAUUGUAGCUACAGUUGCAGGUUGCGAUAGUGAAGUACAUAAUUCUGUUUGUUUUCUAAAGUGGUGGGUAAUUGUUCAAUCUUUGCUCUGGGUGGAAGUUCCUCACUGUUGUGUAAUUGUUUUAACACAUGUUGAGCAUAAGGAGAUAAUUUUUCAUUGGGUGUGAAUUUACGUUCCGGAACUAAUGGGUAGUCGUUAUGACUGUCAUGUAAAUGUUUUGGAUAUUCUAGAUCUACUUCUAAAAUAUACCCCUUAGAUCCAUCCUCUGGUAUUUUUUCAGGUUCAAAAGUAUCAAUUUCUUCCUUCUCUAAAAACUUAAAGAAGCCUGUUGGUAGUUGUUGUGACAUACUGUAACCAUAAAGAUUAUUGACAUCAUAAUAAGCUAGAAAUGAGGUUUCUUUUGUAGGAUCAUAAUCAUUCAAAUACUCAUUGUUUGCUUUUUUGUAUCUAUAAUGGUCUGGCCUUUACCCUGACCUUUAUUAAGGUCAUAUAGUUAUAGUGAGUAUAAGACCAAGCCGGUCGAGGUUCGUUUUAUGUCCUAGUGUGUAUAACUAACAAAAGCUGUUUUCCAUAGUUGACUCUCUUCGUUUCUAUACAGAUAAAUCAUGAAUCAACAUGAAGCACGAAGCAACACACUGAAAUAUAAUAUGAACAGUAAUCAGUUAAAUGCAUCAUCACAUUUAGUUAUUACAAAAGGUUAAAGAAAAGGUUUAUCUCAUACAAUAAGCAUGUGCUUAGUGGCCCGUAUUAACAAACGACUAAUGAGAUAAAUAACAUUUCUUACAAAGAUAAUACAGUAAUGGCAACAACAAUAAAACAUGUAAGACAACAACAACUACAGAUACACUUACAAGUUUAUGGAACUGAGUGUUCUCACUGUAUACAUGUCUCUCAUCUCUCACCCAUGGUGUCUGUUAAUCUGGUCACUGUGGUUAACUGUUAAUUGUUAACUGUAAACAAUUAUGAACACAGUGAAACACAUGCAAAGGGUUACUUAAAAGGAGCUGCUAUCUUGAAAUACUGUGAUAGAACAGAAUUUACCAAACCUUCCAAAAAUACAGAAUGCACAGCCAAUACAACAUAUUGCAAUUAAAAGAAUAACACUCUUGAAUUCAUUUAAUACAUACCAAACAUGGAAAUACUUCCAGGAACUAGUUAAAAUAAUAAGGCUCUAAAAGUGCGCCAAAAGCUGCAAUCCUGGCAGAUUGCUAUUCUCACAAAAACCUCAAAUAUCAGGGGGAAAGGUAGCAGUCAACACAAAAUAUGAGAACUGGAGCAGACAACACUUUAUACUAAAUGCUGAAAUAUCCACAGGGCUACAUAUCUAUUUGAUAUUUGACUAAUACCACCUCGAAUACCUUUUUCGAUAAAUAAAAUUUGAUCAAUGUCUCACAGUCUGUCAUGAGCUCUAGAGUGACUUCAGUCAUUUUCAACAUUGCCUGCCAGCUCAAUCCCGGACUGGUGUAAAAGUGACAAGGGUCUAAACCAUAACACUUCAGUGACAUAAUCCCAUAUCACGAAAAUUUUCAAAAACAUCAGCUAAUAACAAUAUGUCUGUUUUUAGAUAGAGAUCAUGGUAUUCUCCAAGACUUUUUAGUUUAAAUGUUUGAUAUACUUGCUUUGCAUGUUCAUAGUCUUCUUUUGAUAUAUUUUCCUCAGUCAAUGAAGAGUAAAAAUUCUCUAUUGCUGGAAGAUCAGCAUCUUCAAAUUUAUCCCAGUCAGUCAUGAACUCGUAAGGAUAAACCCCCUUUCUUAGCAGGAGGUUUCCAUGAUUUUUGAUUUCUGAAUGAAAGUGAUGGAAAGACUGUGGGCCAUUUUGAGCUAAGUUAUCUACAAGGGUCCCAAGAGAUGAAGGGAGAAAACCCAAAGAGUCAAUAAACCUAAGAUUUCCAAUACUAAAACUGAUAUACUUUUCAAAUGACUGUGGGAUGCAAUUGAUUUUAUAAUUUUUAAAUGUACCAAUGCUUUGACAAAGCAAGUGACCAUCAAAAUUUUUAAGAUUGUGGAAGAUGACUGGGAUGAAACUGGGUUAUUUACAUUGUAAAUUACAAUUCAUAUGUGCAGCUCCUAUGUAUUUCCCACUUGUGUGAUCAUGAUGUCUUGCUUUCUUUCCCUUGUUACCAAAUACUUUUUGACAUAAACAACAUGUGUUUGCUUGUUCGAACUGUUUUUCUUCACUUUCCUUUAAAACUAGGGGUAUGAUAUUUUGCAUAUGUUGCUGUAUUUCAUGACUUUCUCAUAAAAGACAUUCUAACAAUUUUUUGGGUGCAUCUGGACCUCUGUAGAUAACAGUAUCUUUGGUUAAUUUUGAAUCAGUUGAAAUAACUUUAUAUCCAAAGGAACAGGGUUCUAACAAUUGAUUUUUUGAUGUUGAAGCUGUUUGGUUUUUAGUCUCUAUUGGUUUAUUUAAUGUUUCAAAAUCAGCCACAAUAACAUAAGGGACACGCAGUGUUUUUUUCAUAAUCUUUAAAUUCAAGAAAGCAGUCUGCUCCUGAUGGAAGUUCAAUUUUUUGAGCAUCAUGGACUUAACAGUAUGAAAGGUGACCAUCUAAUAAACUUUGUUUACUAAAUCCAUGGAGGCAAUAUCGACAAUAGUAGUAUGCACGAUGUCCUUUCUUACCAUGACUAAGAAACCUGUUUAUGUUUUUUAUAAGCACAUAAUGUGAACUGUUUUCUGAUUGCAAAAGCAAUAAGUCAAUAUGAUGGAGUCUGUUCUGGCAAUUUGUAAUGCGUAGUGGAAGAACAUCAUUGUCUUCAAAAGUAAACACAUUUAUAGACAAAAAUGGGUUUUGCUUCUCAAAUUGAUUUAUUUAAUUCAAUGACAUUGGAAACAGCAGACCUUUUGUGUUUAAUUCAUUUUCAAAUUGUUCAUAAUCACUCACCAGAGGGGAAUCCAAGGGAUGAAGAGAUGCUAAACAACACCAGUCCAUAGAAAGCACUUUUGGUCAAAAAUUCUUAUGUUUAGUAAACUUUGAUAGUUAAUAAGAGGCUUUGGUAGCUCUACAAAACUAGAUCCGGACACUGGAGAAUAUUUCACAGUGUGCACAGUUAUACUUAAUACUUGUUUGAGAACCCACCCAGAGCUUUCUCUUAUGUACUUUUCAAAACUUUCAAACAUUUUUUGAAAUGCUUCAUUUAAGUUGUCUUCAUCAAAUGUUAUCAAAUUUAACCUUCUAUAACUCUUAGAUCUAAAAUGUGGAGUUGAUGUAUUGUCUCCAUCUUUUGUGUGUUUCACUAGCUCAACCUGCACUGAUAAAUACCAUUUAAUAGGAUACAAUUGAAGUCUUUUUUCUAAAAUAUUUUGAAUGUUUUUAUUGGCAUUGGCAAAAAAUGCCAGCAGAUCAUAUUGUUCAUGUUGAUUUGGUUGUAUGGUGAAAUCUUGAAUGUUUUCAUUAAUAGCAUGUUCAUAACUGUGGUUCAUUGUUGUAGAUGAUGGUGUUCUUGCAGUGGAAGUUGGUGUUGAUGAUGGUGUUCUUGCAGUCGAAGAUGGUGUAGAUAAUUUACUGUAGUUGUGUUCAUUUUGAAGGUGCGGACUUGGAGAGAGCGGUGUUCUUGCAGUAGAAGAUGGUGCAAAUAGCUGACUGUAGCUGUGCUCGUUCUGAAGUUGUGAAGUGGUGAGAAGUCCUGUUGUAUGAUCUACAUUGCUUGUUGAAGAGGAGCUUUGGGUGUCGCUGCUUGGAGGUCGAAAGACAAUCAAUGUCUGAGAGGGAAAUAUGUUGGUGCGCAAUUUAUACAACUUGUUUGAAUGUGGGCUUACAUCAACGACAGCAAGACUUUGCGAUCGACACUCUACUCUGUCAAAUGGAUAUUUAGCUGUGCUGUUUUUCAACAACUGCAUGGGCUACAAUAAGAGCUGGAUUGACUCUUACCUUCUUUGCUAUUCGCUUUUCGCUUGAUUUACAAUUUGCUGUGUGGGGGAAGUCCCGUUCAAUGUCAAGUCGCUGCUCUCUGCGGAAGCUUUAUGAGAUCAUCCGGGGAUAUCGCCAUAUUGAAAACCUGCCAGAGGUUCGGUCCACGUCCAUGGUGCUCUGGAUGAGUUAUUGGAGGACGAAGAUCGGGUGUCCUUAUGCUGCCAUGAAAUGUCGUUUUUAUUAUGUCCAAUUAUGUUCAAAAAUAAACAACUUGGAGAAUGUGUUCUAUGUUCUAACAACGACUCGUCUCCUUUCUGCCACUGAUGUAAUCGCAAACCGCAAGAAAAACACUCGACUAUGUCAUUUCUGCCAGUAUAAUAAAAUCCUGCUGAAGAUAAUUAUUAUAACUAUUAACAAUAUCUUGAAGGUGAUCUAUAUAUAUAUCUAUAAUUUCGCUGAUAUCUUAACAUUCUAAAUAUCAUACCGCGAAGGGUACGAAUGACUCGCUCUGCAUAGUUUGCUUUAACGGUGCUUUGUGUAUUAAACAAGUAAACUCUCUUCUUUUGCAUAAACGCUUUUAAUUCACGAUUGAUAAAUUCAGAACCUCGGUCCGUUCUUAACUUUUUAAACUUAUGAACACUAAGAAUAUCCUUGAUUGCUGACAAUACCGUGUUAGAUUUUUUAUUAACUAAGGGUCGAACGGAUAGAAAACGUGAAAAUAUAUCUAUAACAAUGAGUAGGUAUUUAACUCCAUCAUUGUAUUUAGCAAUGUUAUCAACUGCCAUUAAAUCCAUAUCACCCUGAUCGUUCAUACCCGCCACUUCAACACGUGGUCUUUUAUAUGUAUGUCUCGCCUGACGUUGAAUGGCAUACGAAUCUUGAUUGUUGAGCCAUUUCUGUAUGAAAUAAGUAGUAAAUACUCUUGGAUAGUUUUGGUUUAAUAUCCUGUGUAACUUUUUUGCACCCAAAAAGCUGCCUGCGUUUUUAGAAUCGAAAUAAUAUUGUGAUAGGAUAUGUUCCUUCUGCGUUUUAUCCAUGAUUAAACAUGAUCAUCGUUGUAAGUAGUUUAUAUUAUGGGACAUAUGGGUUGUUAAUUAAACUAAAGCAAGGAAAUGAAAACAUGUAUAGAUAUAAAUACAUUUAUUUGAAACUAAACAUGUAUAAAAUAAGUCAGCAUAUGAUCAUACAAGCAUAUACAUACAAUGACAUACAUGUACAUAAAGUGAAUUAAAUAUUUAUUUGAAACAUGCAAAAAGGAAAUUCGUGAAGUAAUAAAUAUAACAAGUCAUUUUACGCCACACAAUGCCAGAGUUCUUAAUUUCUCAUGAAUUCUUCUUUUGAAGAAAAAAUGCAGUAAAACACAUACAACAUUGCAUAAUAUGUCCAUUUUGUUGUGUUGUAAAUAUUCUUUUGCUCAACGUGAUGGACGAAACAGUCGAUCUUCAAUGCGAUUGAUUGUCAACACCACUCUUUUCAUUUUUUCACAAGACCGCUCGGUUUUCAUUAUCUGUAGAUAGUCAUUGCUCUCUAGCAAAAGUUUGUGUAAAUCAAUCAUUUCAGAGGGAAUGUUUGAAAUGCGCACAAUUUCUUCCCAACUUUGUAGUAUAUUUUUUUCAUUAACUGCGUUUAGCAUGUCACUAAAGUAACGUUCUAUUUUAUGUUCAUCGUCAUCAGGGUCUGUAUCCAUGAUACAAUGGUGAUCUUUUUGAGAUGGGAGAUCCAUCUGGCAACCAUAGCAAAGUUGUCUAGUCACCAUACCCAUAACCUCACACAGUGCCUUCGCAUAUACAAAGUCAAAAUCAUCCGGGGAUAUCGCCAUAUUGAAAACCUGCCAGAGGUUCGGUCCACGUCCAUGGUGCUCUGGAUGAGUUAUUGGAGGACGAAGAUCGGGUGUCCUUAUGCUGCCAUGAAAUGUCGUUUUUAUUAUGUCCAAUUAUGUUCAAAAAUAAACAACUUGGAGAAUGUG